UACGAAGGGGGCUAGCGUUGCUCGGAAUCACUGGGCGUAAAGCGCACGUAGGCGGAUUGUUAAGUCAGGGGUGAAAUCCUGGAGCUCAACUCCAGAACUGCCUUUGAUACUGGCGAUCUCGAGUCCGGGAGAGGUGAGUGGAACUGCGAGUGUAGAGGUGAAAUUCGUAGAUAUUCGCAAGAACACCAGUGGCGAAGGCGGCGAUCUGGGAAGAUACUGACGCUGAGGUGCGAAAGCGUGGGGAGCAAACAGG
rnacentral:rRNA from 1 species